rnacentral:rRNA from 1 species
ACAAAGAGAGUAGCGCACUGGUGAGUAACACGUGGGAACGUACCUUGAAGUGGGGAAUAGCGUCUGGAAACGGACGAUAAUACCGCAUAAUCCCUGAGGGGGAAAGAUUUAUCGCUUUAAGAACGGCUCGCGGAAGAUUAGGUAGUUGGUGGGGUAAAGGCCUACCAAGCCUACGAUCUAUAGCUGGUCUGAGAGGACGAUCAGCCACAUUGGAACUGAGACACGGUCCAAACUCCUACGGGAGGCAGCAG